UACGAAGGGGGCUAGCGUUGUUCGGAAUUACUGGGCGUAAAGGGUGCGUAGGUGGCGCUGUAAGUCGGGUGUGAAAUUUCGGAGCUUAACUCCGAAACUGCAUUCGAUACUGCGGUGCUUGAGGACUGGAGAGGAGACUGGAAUUCAUGGUGUAGCAGUGAAAUGCGUAGAGAUCAUGAGGAAGACCAGUGGCGAAGGCGGGUCUCUGGACAGUUCCUGACACUGAGGCACGAAGGCCAGGGGAGCAAACGGG
rnacentral:rRNA from 1 species